UACAGAGGGGGCAAGCGUUAUUCGGAAUUAUUGGGCGUAAAGGGCGCGUAGGCGGUUCUUCAAGUCUCUCGUGAAAUCCCUCGGCUUAACUGAGGACGUGCGGGAGAUACUGAAGGGCUUGAGUCCGGAAGAGGGUGGUGGAAUUCCCAGUGUAGCGGUGAAAUGCGUAGAUAUUGGGAGGAACACCGGUGGCGAAGGCGGCCACCUGGGCCGGAACUGACGCUGAGGCGCGAACGCGUGGGGAGCAAACGGG
rnacentral:rRNA from 1 species